UACAGAGGUCCCGAGCGUUGUUCGGAUUCAUUGGGCGUAAAGGGCGCGUAGGCGGCUUGGCAAGUUGGAUGUGAAAGCCCAGGGCUCAACCCUGGAAUUGCAUUCAAGACUGCCUUGCUUGAAUUCGGUAGAGGUUGGUGGAAUUCCCAGUGUAGAGGUGAAAUUCGUAGAGAUUGGGAAGAACACCUGUGGCGAAGGCGGCCAACUGGACCGACAUUGACGCUGAGGCGCGAAAGCGUGGGGAUCAAACAGG
rnacentral:rRNA from 1 species